GACGAACGCUGGCGGCGUGCUUAACGCAUGCAAGUCGAACGGAAAGGCCCUGCUUUUGUGGGGUGCUCGAGUGGCGAACGGGUGAGUAACACGUGAGUAACCUGCCCUUGACUUUGGGAUAACUUCAGGAAACUGGGGCUAAUACCGGAUAGGAGCUCCUGCUGCAUGGUGGGGGUUGGAAAGUUUCGGCGGUUGGGGAUGGACUCGCGGCUUAUCAGCUUGUUGGUGGGGUAGUGGCUUACCAAGGCUUUGACGGGUAGCCGGCUUGAGAGGGUGACCGGCCACAUUGGGACUGAGAUACGGCCCAGACUCCUACGGGAGGCAGCAGUGGGGAAUAUUGCACAAUGGGCGGAAGCCUGAUGCAGCAACGCCGCGUGCGGGAUGACGGCCUUCGGGUUGUAAACCGCUUUCGCCUGUGACGAAGCGUGAGUGACGGUAAUGGGUAAAGAAGCACCGGCUAACUACGUG
rnacentral:rRNA from 1 species